rnacentral:rRNA from 1 species
GGGCGUAAAGGGCGUGCAGGUGGUCUGUUAAGUGGUGCGUGAAAGCGCUCGGCUCAACCUGGGAACUGCGCUUGUGACUGCACGGCUAGAGUACGGCAGAGGGGGGUGGAAUUCCACGUGUAGCAGUGAAAUGCGUAGAGAUGUGGAGGAACACCGAUGGCGAAGGCAGCCCCCUGGGCCGAUACUGACGCUCAUGCACGAAAGCGUGGGGAGCA